CCUCUCUCUACCUUUAUCUCUCCUAUUUCUGUUUCCCCCUCUAUCAAGUUGACUGUGUGCCUAAUUGCAUAAAAAGAUACCAGUGUUAAUUUGACAAGCAAGAAAUGUCGGAUUUGGGGGAAGAAUUUAUCAUAGAAGGCUACAAAGUUGCGUGGCUAAUUUGGAUCCAACUUGUAGUGAUGUUUCUUCUCAUCAUUCUCCUCUUCUUUGGCUUCAGCGCAUUUACUUUUGAACCUUCCACUUCCUCAACCGCUUCGCCGGCCUCCGCCGCCGCCGCACCACCGCCUCAUCUCAAUAAUCCCAGUUCAUCCCGUAGGAGAGAUAAGCUGUGGAGGAGAGAAGGAGAGGUGUUGGUAGAGAGAGAAAGGGAAGGAAAAUAGAAGAGGAGAGGGCGGCGGUGGUGGUAAAAGGAGGCAGACAAAAUAAUCGGAGGGUAGAGGGUGAGAUGAAUUGUCUAGGAUUAAAGCUAGUCAGUCCACUGUGGAUGCGGGCCUUGUCGGGCCUAGACUAUAUGUUGCGGGCCUUGAUGGCAUAGAAAUGGACAACUGAACAGCACACUACAUUCAAUCUUUGAUUGAAUCAUGCCAUCCGAACAGGGGCUUAGAGGUUGUCAUGUGGUGGUCUUUCUUCUUGGCCUAGUCUGUUUGGGUUUUAAUAUCCAGAUUCAUUGUAACUAUAUUUGAGUUUACUUAACUGUUUAACAUAGAUAUUGUUGAUUCGGAACCUGCAGAAUUGGAAUAUUAGUGAUUUCGAGACCUUCCCUCUUCUCAUAUCUUCAUUUGAAUGAGUUGAAAAUAAGAACACUCUUCCCAAGUUCAAUCCCAAAACCAUGGAUAAUAGAUAAACGACCUUAUAAGGCAUCAGCUCUGUUAUCUGUGUACGUUAUGUUGUUGCUAUAUUGAUAAGAAGAUAUAUAGGAGUCGAGCUUAUGCUAAUGUUUUGCUGUCAUGAUAAUUUUUUGGACCGUGGAUGUUUUAGGCAGAAGUUCAGAGGACUACAAGAGAUAGAGCAAGCAUUGCAGAAUUUACCAGAGAAGUCCAAAAUGGGGAGGAGUCUUCUUCUAAGGAUUCUUCGUUUCUCAGAAUCUUCAGAAAUCCUAACCACCCUUGCAACUAUUUUGACGUAGCAAAACGUGCAGUUCUCAAGUGUUUAGGCUUGGACUCUAGCUCCGAGCCCUCCAGGAGGAGCGAUCAGCAUGAUAAACAAGAGUAAUGCAUGUACAUUUUUGGUGAUCAUCUGUAAUGGUGAUAAGAUUAGGAGCAGCACAUAGUUCAGUAGGACCUCCUCAUGAACUCGUGAUUAGACGGUGUAUAUAGGCAGCCUCAUUGUACUCAACUGUAACUCAAUACGGUAAUAUUAAACUCCAAUUCUUUUGCAUAUAAUUGAGCAGCUAAAGUCUUCGGUUU